AUGAUCCUUCGUUUAACUCAGCCUUCUUCCAUUCAUGAUUUCAUCAUCUCACUCUCUGGCGAUAUCUCUUCUUCUCCUCUCUCAACAAACACCUCAACUAACCUCCAUAGUCAUCCUGCUCGCUCUCAACACAAAGAAGCUUCACACUGUAAAAAUAGAAUAGACGGAGAAAUAACGCUUACCGACCGGAGCAACACCAGCCAUUCUUCAAGAGUGAUGAGAUCGAAACACGAGAAACCAAUUUUGAUGCGAUUGGAGGGAACGGAGAUGAUGUUGAUGUUGUUGUAG
rnacentral:lncRNA from 1 species